rnacentral:rRNA from 1 species
GACGAACGCUGGCGGCGUGCUUAACACAUGCAAGUCGAACGGAAAGGCCCUGCUUGCAGGGUACUCGAGUGGCGAACGGGUGAGUAACACGUGGGUGAUCUGCCCUGCACUUCGGGAUAAGCCUGGGAAACUGGGUCUAAUACCGGAUAGGAGCCAUUUUUAGUGUGAUGGUUGGAAAGUUUUUUCGGUGUAGGAUGAGCUCGCGGCCUAUCAGCUUGUUGGUGGGGUAAUGGCCUACCAAGGCGGCGACGGGUAGCCGGCCUGAGAGGGUGGACGGCCACAUUGGGACUGAGAGACGGCCCAGACUCCUACGGGAGGCAGCAGUGGGGAAUAUUGCACAAUGGGCGCAGGCCUGAUGCAGCGACGCCGCGUGGGGGAUGACGGCCUUCGGGUUGUAAACUCCUUUCGCUAGGGACGAAGCUUUUUGUGACGGUACCUAGAUAAGAAGCACCGGCUAACUACGUG